rnacentral:rRNA from 1 species
GGACUGUAGUCUGCAACCCGACUACACGAAGCUGGAAUCGCUAGUAAUCGCGGAUCAGAAUGCCGCGGUGAAUACGUUCCCGGGUCUUGUACACACCGCCCGUCACACCAUGGGAGUCAGUAACGCCCGAAGUCAGUGACCUAACCGAAAGGGAGGAGCUGCCGAAGGCGGGACGAAUGACUGGGGUGAAGUCGUAACAAGGUAUC